UUUGGAUUGUUGUCAUUCCCCUCAGAUGUGCCUCGGGGAGUGGGGUAUUACUUUGGAUUAUAAAGGAUAUACCAUCAUUUGUAUAUUCUGAUAACUGACCGAACAGUAUGAAGAAGCGGCUUGUGCACUGUCAGCGCCCACUAUUUCUAACACUACUGGUGUUUUACAUAGGAUUAGUGCUGUUUUCUCUGUUUAACUAUCGCAGCCACUGUACCUACACAAGCCCGGAGUCCCUUGUCCGGACACAUAUCCUCAACCCAGACAAAGCUGCACACAUCUGUCCAAUAAACUUUGAUAACCUGGAUGUGGUCCAUUUGGAUAUUUUCUCUGAACCAUCAUUUGAUCUGAUAAAGCAGAGGUAUCCACAUGUUGCUCUUGGUGGACAGUGGAAACCUCAGGGAUGUACCUCAUUUCAGAAGGUUGCAAUCAUAAUUCCUUACAGGAACCGUCUCCAUCAUCUUAAGAUCAUGUUGAACCGGAUUCAUCCUUUGCUAUGGAAACAGAACAUUGACUAUCAGGUGUUCUUAGUAGAACAGGCUGGUAAUGAUAGAUUUAACAGAGGAAAGCUGAUGAACGUUGGAUUUUACGAAGCCAUGAAGAUUGGAAAUUUUGAUUGCUUUGUUUUCCAUGAUGUGGAUCUUCUCCCAGAAAAUGACAAAAAUUUGUACAUGUGCGAUGAUCACCUCCGCCAGCUGUCCUCUGCUAUUGAUGAAACUAGAUAUCAUGUCAUGUACUUUAACUAUGCUGGAGGCGUGAUUGCUAUGAAGGCUGACAGCUUCAAAAAAAUCAAUGGCUACCCUAACUCAUAUUGGGGAUGGGGAAACGAGGAUGAUGAUAUUUCUGCACGAACACAAGAGGCAGGGCUGUUGAUUACACGACCCCCAGAGCACAUCGGCAUGUUCAAGAUGGUGCGCCAUGUCAAAGAGACGCGAUCUGAAAAUGGGUAUGAUGGAUUUCUUGGAUGGCGAGGCAGGUGGAUGCAUGAUGGCCUUACCAACCCAAUAACAAUGAACUACACGGUUAAACACCUAACGCAACAUCCCCUAUUCACGAAUAUCACCGCAGACAUUGGUCCCUCCGCUGGACACCGGAUUGACAUCACUAAGGACACGACGCGGGAAACAUUUUGGUGGUUUUUGAAAUUCUAUUUUCCAUGAAAAAGGAUGCAGAUGUUCAGUAUGUAUACGCAAAUAUACUCAUCCAGUGAGAAUAACCAAGAGCAGGACUCGAGAUAUGAUAGGUGGAUGUCAUUAUUAUGUUUGUAUGUGAGUCUACCUUAAUUUAUGAUGUAUGAUGAAAAAUUCCAUUGUUUGACGUUUAGUGUUUGUAUGUGAGAGUCCAUCAGAAGUUCUGGUGUAGGAAGAAAUAUUUCAUUGUUCAUUCCGUUUCGUGGUUAAAUGUGUCUGACUUGGAGUUUAAAGGGACAUUUUAGUAAGUUUGAUUUUUUCUUAAUGCAAAAUUCUAAAUAAAACUAAAUGCCAAAAUAUUGAAAAGAAAUGCAAUUUUCUUGGUAGUUAAAACCAAAUUACUAGGAAGUCUUUAAAGAUAUGCUUUUGUUUAAAUUUGAUUAUAUGAGUCUGUGAUACAUAUACAUUGUAUAUAUAUAUAUAUAUACGUGUAAUUCAUGCUUGCAUUGAAAAUUCUGUACAAGUGAAAUCAAACAUGGGGUGUCAUCAUGCCUUAUAGGGCCCAGAUGUUGCUAUUUCAGCUAUUUUCAAUGUAAGUAACAUUUUUCCUGGCUUUCUCAAAACGAAAAGUGACUUGGUGGGUUUUGUAUUACCAAGAUAUCAAUUUUUUGUAGUUUUUCUUUUGGGAGUGUUAUACAUGUAUUUUCAGUUCCAGGCUAUUUUUUAAAUCAGUUGACUUUAUGUUGAACUAAAUUAUCUCUUUAUAACUGUCUGUGACGUCCCAUAUCUUGAGUAAUGUUUGAUGUGGUAAUUAGAGGGAAAUUAUCAGUUCUAGUAAGUAAGAAAAAAAAUGGAAAUCCUCAGGGCUCAAUUCUAUCAAUCCAACACUGUAACAGAUUUAUUGACACCUGCUAGUAGUAAUUGACAGGGCAAUUUUUGGUACUUGAAUCAUUGUCAUGGAAAAUUUGGCAUUUCAAUGCAACAUUGAACAUUUGUCCAUUCAAACCAUGCAAAUUCAGUGUGUGUUGAAAUAUUUCUACUACAAAAAAUUAAAAAUAUUCUAUACAGAUUUAUCACUUUGAAUAUUUUUAAUACAAGCAUGAAAGAGUGUUGGCAUGGUUAUAUUUAAUUCAGCAGUUUCUAUGAUACCACACAUAUACAUAUUGUAAAUCUAUCUUUACUUGUUUGCUGUCUCAGUUCAUAAUAUAACUCAAUGUCAUUGUCAUCACUCGCAUUUUACAAAUAUCAAAGACACAGCAGCUCUGACUAAGGUUAUUUAUGAUCAAUAGAAUAUGCUGUAUGAUUUUAUACAAUAUCUUAAGUCACAUUCUCAAUGCUUCUGUCAGCCCUGGACAGUUUUCUUGUCUCUUCUAUCUUUCAAAGUAAAAGUGAAAAAAAUAAUUGCAUCACAAAGAAAUUCUAUCUUGCAGAUACCUCCAUAUUCCAUACACAGCUUUCAAAAUAACCAUUGUCAGAACACAUUUUUCCUGUGUUGGUGUUGAUCAGAUAUAUCUGCACUGCACAAGCCAUUUUAUGCUCAGACAUGACAAACAUUGUAUACAGUGUCAGGGCUGCAACAUCGAUUAAUUAACGAGUCGUUAGAUGUUAAUUUUUUUUAGCAACAGUUAAUGAUGUUAAACCUUAACAACUCGCUAACCAUGGUUUAAUGACAUCGCUAAGUUCAUAAAAGUUCUAAACACCUGGGCCCUGAAGGCACUUUAUGUAUGAAGAGAGUGCUGUAGAGGAGAUUCAUUUUUUUUAUACAAAAUGUUUAAAUUUUACUGACAUUCUACAAUUAGGCCAUUUUUGCUCUAAAUGAAUUUGAACCUGGAUAGAUUAUCCUUACUGUGGUACAGGUCCAUACAUUGGACAUAACAGUGUUAUCAUCCAUAGCUUGUGUUCUCAUUUUUAAAGUCUUGAUCAGGGUCACUUUUAAAAAUUUUAUACAUACGUACCUAGAUGGCAACAGUGUAAACUGCAUAUGAUGUCUCUCUUUUAUGAUUUUGGUAAUAUACACAAUAUUUGAAGUGCAUUUUUCCUCACCAUGGUUUUGAAUUAUGAUGUAUACUAUAUUCUGCAAUAAGCCCAGGAGGCUAAUUAAUAUAUUGUCUCUGAAUCAAAAUAAGCAGAUGGGCAGCAAUAGGAGACAGUGGGCUUACUACCGGGCAUGGACUUAUUGCCUAAAUCUGUAUACAUAGAUUCAGUGAAUGUCCCAAAUAUGCAUUGUUUUGAAGUAUAUUUAUGUGAAUGAGGAGAAAGUCCCAAUUGUACGAUAGCCUUCACUUUGGUGCUGUGAGUAGUCAUGUAUGUAUGUACUGUACUAUGAGUGAACACUGUAGUUUAUGAUAUAUGUAUGUAUAUAUUUUUCAAAAAAUGUUUCAGUUUAUGUGAAAAAAAAAAGUUUUCUGUUUAAGAGAAAUCAAUGUAUCUAUACAUUAAUUGUAAUUAUUUAUGUACACCUAUACACAUGUGAUACCUUUUUAUCCAUAUAUCAGAAAAAUCCAAAAUGUUUUUGAUUUAAACAUAUUUUAUUUGUAAAUUUACAAAUGGGAUCAGGCACAAAUUUAAGAACUUCUGAUUCGUCUUCUACUGCGAAACAUAAAGAAUGAAAUAUACAUAUGACCCACCAUAUGAUACGAGACAAUUUAUGGUUUCCUUGCUAUUUUGUCAUGGCCUUUACUGACAAGAGUUAUCCCCUUCAUUGAUUUUCAAUGUCUGCACCAUUAUCCUACAAUAAUCAACUUGUAUCACCAUUUGCAUUCAUAGGGCAACUAGCCAUCUAGAGCAUUUUGAAGUAUCAGGUGGUAGUAAUAUUUGCCUACUACCCUUUUCUUAUAGAGUUAACAUAAGGUCCUUUGUUUAUCAGUCUGAUUUUGAUUUCAAAUAUUUAGUCCUGUUUUGUAUUUUAUGAAAUGAUUUACAUAAGAUUUUAUUUACCCUCACCACUAAAAAUAUAAUGUAAACAUACCAUUUAUGUGAAGGUGGGUGAUGUUCGGUAAUACAUUUUUUUAUUAUCUGUGUAGAAGGGUAUAUAUAGGCCCCACCACCCAUCAAAUUUUAAUACAAGUGCCUCCUGCUCCUCCCUCUACUUCUGAAUCUUGAAUAGGCAUUCCAUGGAUGAUAAGCUCUUAAAUGGCCAUUGCAAGGAUGGUAAAGUAACAUUUUGUAUAUAGCUUUGGAUCUAUCCAUCAAAUUACUACAGGUGUAAAGUGGCAUUCUGUGAAGAAGAAAAAAACAAAAAAACGAGAGAGAAUUAAACUGAAACCUAUUUAUCUGUUUUGGCUGAGAAUAUACAAGUAUAUACCAUUACCUAUAUAAUGUGACAGUAAGAAGGGGCUAUAUGUAAUUAUAUCUCUCAAGACCCAAGACUUAUUCUGGAGUUUCCAGUUGAAGUCAGUGACCAUAGUCUUGGGCUGGAGCUCUCUGACAGUUGAGGUCAGUGGCCAUAGUCUUGGGCUGGAGCUCCCAGUUGUGGUCAGUGGCAAUCUCGACUGCAAAAUUUUGAUCUGAAACUGGAACAUUAUUAAAGCUUACUUCAUUACAGAAACAAUGCAGUAAUAGGAAGUUUUAAAAGAUAAAUAUGAUGGAAUUGAGAAGUAAAAAACCCAAAAAUCUCCACUUUGGAAAGACUUUCAAAAAUUGAAGAUUUUCGGUUUUCCAGUUUUAACCCCUUGAAUGGUAUAGAUUUCAAGUGCACUGCAAGUAGCAGGAUGUGUGGUUUAAAAUGUGGAAUAUGUGAUACUUAAUAUUGUGUGGAAUUUGUAUUGUGAUAAUAGUUUUUGUUAAUUUUUUGAGGAUUUUUGUGUACAUUGCUGUAAAUUAAUCUAAAGGAUGAAAUGUUUAUUUAUUUACUGUAAUCUACAUUCUCUAGAUCCAUUCCAAUCCGUAAUACAAUGUACUGUAUAUUGUUUAAUGUAAUUUUCAUUUCUUGAAGCUGGUAAGGAAUCUUGAAAAUGAAAUACAAUGUAUUUAGUUGAAAUAAUAGUCUAAUAUAAGACUACAAGAAGUGGUACCCAUGAAGUUCAUACCACAAACCAUUUCACAGCUAAGGUGAAAUGGGAAUGAUUUAGCUUAUAUAUCCAAAAAGAUGGAAAUCCUGCAGUAUAAAAUUCUUUUGUGGUUUCAGGCCCCACAAAUCUUGUGAUUAAGUAGGUAAAACUGUCACUGUGUAAUGCUAAAUUCUUAAUUGUUUUGAAGAAUUGUAAUAGCAUGUUCAAACAACUAAUGAGGCUUUGAAAAACUAUUUCUACUUUUAAACCAUUUUGAUGCAGAAACCGAGAGGUUAUGCCAUCAUGCACUGUUCAUUAUUUGGUGAAUAACCAUAUAAGAAACAACAACUGGAUUAUAGACAAGUUUGUAUUAGGUGACAUCAAACAAUAUUUUAUGUCUUAUAUUUGUGUUGAAGAGAAAAAGAUUAAAAAAUUGAAAUUUCAGAUGUUUUGAAAAUUUAAUGGGGUAAAUAUUCAGGCAUAGUUCAAACUCAAGUAUCGUGCACAGGUACUUACAAGGUAUUAUAAUUUUAUCUUAUAAAUAUGAAAAAUGGGGGGAAAAUGUUUGGGGGAUUUUUUUUUUAACUUGUACUGGCAGUAUGUACAGUUGACUUUUUCAUUUGUUGAUUCUUUUUUUUUUUUUGUAAUAAAUGUGUGCACUGUACAUGAAUAUUUACAGUGAUGAUGUUGAUAAAUAGAUAUAGGAUUAGGUAUGUGGGACACAUCUGUGUAAAUGAUGUAAUAGAAUAUCAUCAUAUCCAUCUUGUGUAUUGUAUCUACAGACAAUGCAAGUCACUAUUGACAUAUGUUCAUUGCGUGUGUGAUGUGUAUUCGGUGUAUUGGUUAGUGUUUUGAUCUCAAUAAUUUAUGUAAACAUUCCAAAUGUGACCCACGGGAAUUGAUAUGAAUUUUUUUCCAACAGUCCAUAUAUAUGUAUAUUUAUCAUAUAAUGGGUCUAUAUGGGAAGAGCUAACACCAUAACAAUGAUAAGCCGUUGCCUGGAUACCGCCCAGUAUGCAGGGCGAUUGAAGAAUAGGGACCAUAUUUUAUAGAAUCAUUGACAUCACAAUUAACAAUAUACAUUAUAUGGAAAUGUGCCCAGAUUUUGAAGUUCUUCAGCAGACAAAAUUUGUCAUUAAAUCGUCCUGAAGAAGCGAAAUAGAUUGACGUUUCUUUAUAAAGAAAAAUUAACUUAUCCCGAGAUUGUUGCAAUUUACUCCUAUACUUUGUGUACAGGUAUCAUAUGACAUGGACGAUGGGUUGGAAAUUUGUGCCUGUGAUUUGACCAUUUUCCUAUCCAUAACUUGUAUGAAUAUAUAUUUUUUUAAUCAGAUGAAUUUACUAUUGCCUUAUGUGGUUCUAAUGGCAUGUAUAAUGCACACAGACAAUAAAACUAUUUUAUGCUACUAAGUGGGUGGACACUUAAAGUGGUACCCUCCAUCCAGCUGUCCAGUCAUCCAUCCAUUAAACAGUUUUUAAGAAUUUGAAACACAGUCAGUCAUUGAUAAAGUUAUAACACAAAUGUACUCAAUUUUUUCUUGAAAGUUAUACAGGGGUCAAAUAUAGGGGUCAAAUAUCACUGUUAUGUAGUCAAAGUGAUUAUUUUUUCUAAUUUGGACACGAUUUUGACUUAUUUUUGGGUAAGAAGUUUACAGAGUAUGUAAUUUAUUCAUGAUAAGCACAUCGUCAGAUACCAAAGUUGAUUGCACUCCGCUAUGUGAAUACCUAAGGUUGAUUGCAUUGUGUAUACUUGCAUAGCGUAGUACAGUCAACUGUGGGUAUCCGACGAUGUGAUAAGUGAUACAAUGCUGUUAUUUUGCAUGCUGAGAUGUAAAACUGAUUUUUUUUUUCACUCCAACUUUUGGCCUGUUUUGGACUUUGGCGUAACCUUACAUUUAAAAGCUCCAGUUUACAAAUAUAUUUACAGUAAAUAUUAAAAUAAAUCUUUAUUAUAAUACUUGAUCAGUACAUGUACAUAUAUAUAUAUAAUAUUUUGGAUCUUUUAUUUGUUACUGCUAAAGAAUGCAUUUUUUUAAUAAUUCCACCUAGUGAAACUGUUUAUUUUACUGUUUUACAUAAACUGUGUUUAUGUGAAGGCAUUAAGUGUCACAGGAAUAAAUAAUUCUGUGACUUUAUUUAUAUUUACAACAUGGCAGUUUUGACUUUUACAUAAUGAAUUGAAGUAGUUUAUUUUCCCUGUUUAAGAACUCUUAUCGUUUACUAACGGUUUGGUGUAAUGUUAUUUUUAUUAACAUUCCAUGUAAACCUAUAUAUAGUAAGGUUUAAAGUACUGAAGAAACAUUCCAUGUACCAUCAGUUUUUUAUGACAUUUUAUUUAAUAAAUAUUAUUAUUCAAAA